AUGGGCAACUCACUAAGCGUAUUUUGUUCCUGGUUCCGCCGCAGGUCCUGGCCAUGCCAUCGGCAACCUGCUUGUCUUGUCCGUGAGGCCUUCCCAGCUGGCCGGGCUCACCCAGCGGCUCCUGCACCUGUGCCUGCCCGGGGAAUCGUGGGCCGUUUCCCACUCCUCUUCAACCGUCAGCGACAUCUUGGGCCUUCUUUUCCAGUCAGGUGGGAUGGCGCCCCUAUGAGGCUGUGUCUUAUCCCUCAGAACACGGGCACCCCACAGAGGGUCCUGCCUCCUGUGGUCUGGAGCCCCCCUUCAAGGAAGAAACCCAUGCUGUCUGCUUGCAACUCCAUGAUGUUUGGACACCUCAGCCCCGUGAGGAUCCCUCAUCUGAGAGGCAAGUUUAACCUUCAACUUCCUUCAUUAGAUGAGCAGGUGAUCCCAGCCAGGCUCCCGAAGAUGGAGGUGAGGGCAGAAGAGCCCAAAGAAGCAACGGAGGUGAAAGACCAGGUAGAGACCCAGGGGCAGGAGGACAAUAAAAGGGGCCCCUGUAGCAAUGGGGAAGCAGCCUCCACCUCUAGUCUCCUGGAGACUCAGGGAAACCUCACUUCCUCCUGGUACAAUCCCAGGCCCUUGGAGGGAAAUGUCCACCUCAAGAGCUUGAUAGAAAAGAACCAGACUGACAAGGCCCAGGUGCAUGCAGUGAGUUUCUACUCCAAGGACCAUGAAGUCGCCAGUUCACACAGCCCUGCUGGAGGCAUCCUUUCUUUUGGGAAGCCUGACCCACUUCCAACAGUGCUCCCUGCCCCAGUUCCGGGCUGCUCCCUGUGGCCAGAGAAGGCGGCCUUGAAGGUGCUGGGUAAAGACCACCUGCCCAGCUCUCCAGGCUUGCUGAUGGUGGGGGAGGACAUGCAGCCCAAGGAUCCUGCAGCUCUUGGAUCAAGUAGGUCUUCUCCAUCCAGAGCUGCCAGCCACAGUUCCCACAAAAGAAAACUGUCGGAGCCACCGCUGCAGCUGCAACCGACCCCUCCCCUGCAACUGAAGUGGGAUAGAGACGAGGGGCCCCCACCGGCUAAGUUUCCAUGUCUAUCUCCUGAGGCCCUGUUGGUGAGUCAGGCUUCCCAAAGAGAAGGACGCCUCCAGCAGGGCAACAUGUGUAAGAACAUGAGGGUGUUAAGUAGAACAUCAAAAUUCAGGAGACUAAGAGAGCUGCUUAGGAGGAGAAAGAAGAGACGGCAGGGCAGGUGUGGUAGCUCACACCUGUAA